rnacentral:rRNA from 1 species
AAUCAACGCUGGCGGCGUGCCUCAGACAUGCAAGUCGAACGAUUAAGACUCCCUUCGGGGAGUGCAUAAAGUGGCGCACGGGUGAGUAACACGUAAGUAAUCUACCUUCGAGUGGGGAAUAACAUCGGGAAACCGAUGCUAAUACCGCAUAAUGCAGCGGCAUCGAAAGAUGACAGUUGUUAAAGGAGCAAUUCGCUUGAAGAGGAGCUUGCGGCAGAUUAGCUAGUUGGUAAGGUAAUGGCUUACCAAGGCUACAAUCUGUAUCCGGUCUAAGAGGACGGUCGGACACACUGACACUGAAUAACGGGUCAGACUCCUACGGGAGGUAGCAGUCGGGAAUUUUGGGCAAUGGGCGAAAGCCUGACCCAGCAACGCCGCGUGAAGGAUGAAGUUUUUCGGAAUGUAAACUUCGAAAGAAUGGGAAGAAUAAAUGACGGUACCAUUUAUAAGGUCCGGCUAACUACGUGCCAGCAGCCGCCGUAAUAC